rnacentral:rRNA from 1 species
CCCUUAGAUGUUCUGGGCCGCACGCGCGCUACACUGACAGGGUCAGCGAGUGCUCCUGCGUCGAAAGGCGUGGGUAAUCUUUGAAACCUUGUCGUGCUGGGGAUAGAUCCUUGCAAUUAUUGAUCUUGAACGAGGAAUGCCUAGUAAUCGUAGGUCAUCAGCCUGCGAUGAUUACGUCCCUGCCCUUUGUACACACCGCCCGUCGCUCCUACCGAUUUCGAGUGGUUCGGUGAACCUUUCGGACCGGCAAUGCCUCGUGUUGCGCCGGAAAGUCAAGUAAACCAUNUNACUUAGNGGAAGGAGAANUCGUANCA